rnacentral:rRNA from 1 species
CCAGCAGCUGCGGUAAUUCCAGCUCCAAUAGCGUAUAUAAAAGUUGUUGCAGUUAAAAAGCUCGUAGUUGGACUUGGGAGUCGUUUUCAUAGUGGUCGUGGCCCGCCGAGAAGGCGUGUGCUGCGCCGCCGGCUCCUAUUCCUUCUGGAGUCCCGCCUCUGCCCUUCACUGGGUGGGGGUUCCGGUGGGGAAACCCAUCGGGCGCCGGGCGUGGAUGUGCGUGCGGGAUGUGAGGCGGGCAACCGUCUCUGCCCGUGCGCAGCCGCGUUCGGUUGGGGGCCCAGAUCGUUUACUGUGAGUAAAUGAGAGUGUUUAAAGCAGGCAGGUGUUCGCCUGAAUCCGUUAGCAUG